rnacentral:rRNA from 1 species
CGGACGGGUGAGUAAUGUCUGGGAAACUGCCCGAUGGAGGGGGAUAACUACUGGAAACGGUAGCUAAUACCGCAUAACGUCGCAAGACCAAAGAGGGGGACCUUAGGGCCUCUUGCCAUCGGAUGUGCCCAGAUGGGAUUAGCUAGUAGGUGGGGUAAUGGCUCACCUAGGCGACGAUCCCUAGCUGGUCUGAGAGGAUGACCAGCCACACUGGAACUGAGGCACGGUCCAG